rnacentral:rRNA from 1 species
UACGUAGGGUGCGAGCGUUGUCCGGAAUUAUUGGGCGUAAAGAGCUUGUAGGCGGUCUGUCGCGUCUGCUGUGAAAAUCCGGGGCUCAACCCCGGACUUGCAGUGGGUACGGGCAGACUAGAGUGUGGUAGGGGAGACUGGAAUUCCUGGUGUAGCGGUGAAAUGCGCAGAUAUCAGGAGGAACACCGAUGGCGAAGGCAGGUCUCUGGGCCGAUACUGACGCUGGAGGAGCGAAAGCGUGGGAGCGAACAGG